AGGAUUGGCAGCAGUUAGCUCAGGGCUAAUCUUCCUAAAAAAACAAACAAACAAAACCAACUAUUUGAAAUAGUAAGAAUAGAUUUGAAAGGGAGAAAAAAGCCAUCCACAGAGAUUGGGAGCAUUUGUAUUAGGGACCACAUAGGGCAUCUGGAAUUAGAUGCAUCUUUUAGUAGAUUUUUUUUUUUUUUAACUAGCUUACCAGUAUUUCAAAAUACCAGUGCCCAGUUUCCAUUGACUGUCACCUGUAGAUGUUGCUUAAAGCCAGAUGCAUUUGUGAUUUACCACUUAUAAUUCUCUGCCAGCCCUGUACCUGGGGAGAUAAUUUCAGGUGUUCUCUGGAAUAGUAACCAGUCAUUUGAUGCAAGUGCAAAGCCAAAUCUAGUUACUGGAAUUGAAAAUAAUGAAGCCUAGGGCUUAUUUUGGACAACCAGGCAGUUGGAGCAGCUGAAUACUAAAAUAUUGGCCUGUCUGGUGGUUUCCUCUGUGGUUUCUUAUCUCUGUGGGUUAUGCACCUUCACCCAUAGGGAAACAGCCUUAACACAGCUUCCAGCAGCCCUUCUGUUGUGAGGCAGCUUUUCACUCAAAAGAGAAGUAAAUUAGUCAUUGAACUUUUCGAGUAUAUAAUGAAAAGAAAUACCUUACUUAAAAUCAAAUUUGGAGUUUACUACCCGAUAGCCCAUGGUUGCUUUUCUGGCCAAACUAUUAUCCUCCUUUGAGGCAAACUCUUCAGCUGUAAGUUAGCAGACGGUUUCAAAACAGAGCAAGUAAAUUAAUGGAAAGUGCAAAAAUCAGAAUAAAUAGAAUAGAAAAUAAAUUUAUUUUUGUUUUGUCAUUUAAUCUCAACUGAUAAAACAGGAAUAUACGUAUGUGUAAUUGUCAGGUUCAAAAUCUUGUCAAGUAAACUGCUUCACUCUGUUUUAAUUAUUCUGUAUAAAAAGAAGAAUCUCAGAGAAAGCACACACAUUUCCAGUGGUUAACCGUAUGUCUUUGAAAGUUUUGUAUAAGAUUGAACCAAUAUUGGAUGUUUUAGGAGGGCUGAUCUUGUUGCAGUUCAGUUUUAUUCCUAAGUCACUUACUAACUCAUAUGGUGCUGUUUCUAUUUUCUUUUAACUUAAGUUGCACUUAAUGAUAAACUUUCUUCUCUUCCUGCCAGACUUCCUGUAGAGUAGCCUGUGCUUUCUGCUAUGAUUUCCUUACCACUCACUAACUGUCUGUAAUCACUUGCAAUUUGACUUUGGCCUCACUUCUCCAGACUCUCACCCUUUAUGUCACAUUGUAAAGAACCACAUCCUGUUGAAUUUACUUCUGCACCAUCUGAUAUGCCCAAUUUCCCACUCUACUGGUAUUACAGGAGCUCCCCUCUGAAAUAACUCCCAAAGCUGUACGUAUUACCCACUGCUGCAUUACUACCAGACACAUCUGCUUUAGUCACAUCUCUGCUCAUGAAUGUGAGCAUGUUUUUGAACACAUUAACACCGAAGUUCUACGUGGCCCUGACAGGCACUUCCUCACUAAUAUCAGGGCUUAUUUUGAUAUUUGAAUGGUGGUAUUUUCGCAAGUAUGGAACGUCAUUCAUUGAGCAAGUCUCAGUAAGCCACUUACGCCCCCUUCUGGGAGGGGUUGACAACAACUCCUCCAACAAUUCUAACUCCAGUAAUGGGGACUCGGAUUCCAAUAGGCAAAGCGUCUCAGAAUGCAAAGUAUGGCGAAAUCCGUUAAAUUUAUUUAGGGGCGCUGAAUAUAAUCGGUACACUUGGGUGACAGGACGAGAGCCUCUGACUUAUUAUGACAUGAAUCUCUCUGCCCAGGACCACCAGACAUUCUUUACUUGUGACUCGGACCAUCUGCGCCCCGCAGAUGCAAUAAUGCAGAAAGCCUGGAGAGAGAGAAACCCCCAGGCUAGGAUUUCUGCAGCUCAUGAAGCCUUAGAGAUAAAUGAAAUUAGGUCCAGAGUUGAAGUUCCCCUAAUUGCUUCCUCUACCAUCUGGGAGAUAAAAUUGUUACCAAAGUGUGCAACUGCUUAUAUUCUCUUGGCUGAAGAAGAAGCAACAACCAUUGCUGAAGCAGAAAAGCUGUUUAAGCAGGCCCUGAAGGCUGGAGAUGGCUGUUACCGGCGUUCUCAGCAGCUACAGCAUCAUGGAUCCCAGUAUGAAGCCCAACAUAGACGAGACACCAAUGUCUUGGUCUACAUCAAAAGAAGGCUAGCAAUGUGUGCCAGAAGACUCGGGAGGACCAGGGAAGCAGUGAAAAUGAUGAGAGAUUUAAUGAAGGAGUUCCCCUUGCUGAGCAUGUUCAACAUCCAUGAAAAUCUUUUAGAAGCCCUUCUGGAACUACAAGCAUAUGCUGAUGUUCAGGCAGUCUUAGCAAAGUAUGAUGAUAUAAGCUUACCAAAGUCGGCAACAAUAUGCUACACAGCUGCCUUGCUCAAAGCAAGAGCUGUCUCUGACAAAUUCUCUCCCGAGGCUGCAUCUCGGCGUGGACUGAGCACAGCAGAGAUGAAUGCGGUAGAGGCCAUUCAUAGAGCUGUGGAAUUCAAUCCUCACGUGCCAAAAUACCUACUAGAAAUGAAAAGCUUAAUCCUACCCCCAGAACAUAUCCUGAAGAGAGGGGACAGUGAAGCAAUAGCAUAUGCCUUCUUUCAUCUGGCACACUGGAAGAGGGUGGAAGGGGCUUUGAAUCUUUUGCAUUGUACAUGGGAAGGCACUUUUCGGAUGAUCCCCUAUCCCUUGGAAAAGGGGCAUCUGUUUUAUCCUUACCCAAUCUGUACAGAAACAGCAGACCGAGAGCUGCUGCCCUCUUUCCAUGAAGUCUCAGUUUACCCAAAGAAAGAGCUUCCCUUCUUUAUUCUCUUUACUGCUGGACUGUGUUCCUUCACAGCCAUGCUGGCCCUCCUGACACAUCAGUUCCCAGAACUUAUGGGGGUCUUCGCAAAAGCUAUGAUUGACAUUUUCUGCUCGGCAGAGUUCAGGGACUGGAAUUGCAAGAGUAUUUUCAUGCGUGUUGAAGAUGAACUGGAAAUCCCACCGGCACCUCAAUCUCAACAUUUCCAAAACUGAACUCAUCACCCUUCUUCCCCCACCACCAAAACCGCUCUUCCUCCUGUAUUCCUGACCUCCGCCAGUGGCACUGCCAUCCGCUCAGUUGCUCAACCAGAAACUCAGCAGCCCUCCCAAGCUCCCUCUCUCCCUCCCCACAUCCCGUCUGUCUUGGCUUCCACACCCUGUCGGGCCUAACCUCUUAAGCCACUACAUUCAGUAAAUAUAAUUCACGUCUUCUUCCCCUCCUUCUCUCCCCGUGGCCUCUCUUAGUUUAGAUCUUCAUUAUUUCUUGCCUGGCCUCCUGCAAGAGUCUUCACUGGUCUCUUUGCUUCCAGUCUUAUCCUCUGCCAGUCUUUUUCUCCUACUGACACAAGAAUGAUCUUUCUAAAUUGCAAGUCUAAGCAUGUCACUUCCCUGCUUGGAUUUCUCCAGUGGUUUCCCACCAUCUUCAGGAUAAAGUCCCAGCUCUUUAGCAUAGCAUGCAAGGUCCUUUAUGAUCUGGCCUUGCUUGCCUCUUCAGUCUCAUCCCUCCCAACUUUUGCACAGACACUACUCUUGGGCCAUAGUGAAUUACUCACCAUUCCCAGAUGCACCAGGCUCUUGUGUAGCUCAGUGCCUUUGCACGUGCUGUUUGCGCUGCAUGGAAUGCCCUUUCCCAUCACCACCCUGACUUGUCCACUCUACUAAUGCCUCUUUGUUCUUUUAUACUCAGCUUUCUUUCUAAGUUUCUCCUAAGCUGAGUUAGAUGUCUCUCCUCCAUGAUCCCACAGUAUUCCAUGAAUACUUAUAUUAUCACAUUUAUUGUAUUGUACUAUAAUUGUUGAAAACUUGUCUGUCUCCCUUUUAGAAUGUGAGCUCCUUGAGAGCAGAACUAUGUCUUCCUUAUCUCUGUAUCCCCAAAGCUUUGCACAGUAACUUGCACAUAGUAGGUUUUCAAUAAAUGAUUAUUAAAUAAAUAAAUGGUAGUGGUUUCUGCAGAAAGAAUCAAUGUAAAAAUCAGAUACAGCUUAGCAUCUCUUCUCUUCUUUUAUAAUUAUGGACUCAGAAUUGAAAGGUACCUUAAACAGAUUGCCUUCAACAGUAACAUGAUGGAGGUCAUCUGGACUCAUCUUCAAUACUUUCACAAUGGGGAGUUCACCUAUUCAACAGGGAAGCCCAUUUCAUUUUUGGAUCACUCGGAUCUCUUCUUUAUACUGAUAAAAGCUACCUCCCUGUAAUUUUCACUUAUUGUUCCUGUUCUACCCUCUGAAACUAUAGUGAACAAGUCUACUUCCUCUUGCAAAUUCUUAAGACAGCUAAUAUAUUCUUGGCCACCUCUCACCUCUAACUUUCUACCUUCUAUGUUCCCUAGGCAGAAUAUCUUAAAUUUCCUUAAGUCUUCUGUACAUGAUAUGAUUUCUAAACCCAGUAUCACCCAAGUUGCCUCCCUGCAUGCUCCCUAGUUAAUGGACCCAUGCUUUUUAUUAUUUUCUUCUAUUCUCAAGUCAACUUCUAAGUAAAAGUAGUUGCCAAAAGUCUGAGUAGAUUAGAGUGUAACUUAGUAAAAUUUAAAAUAAGAAUACAUUUACAACAUUAGACAAUUACUGUUCCUCCUUUUAUGUUCCUCUCUUAAACUUUUUUUUAAAGCAUAUCUGUAGAAGUCAUUGUCAUUGGCCUAGUAUUCUUCAUUAUAUGAACAAAUAGCACUUGGUGGGAGUUUUGCAUCAGAACAGAGCUUCUCAGCCUCUAGCGUGCAUAAAAUUCACCUGGCCCCGCCACCAGAAUCUUGAGUGCUAGCACCUGGAAUCUGUUUUUAGUAAGGACCCCAGCAGAUUCUGAGGAUGGGGGUUGAGGACCACGUUUCCUUUCAGGAACACCAAUCUCAAGAAAGCCAAAACUUUGAGCAGCCUUUUGCAGGUAGAUGGUGUGCUGUCAGAGCUGGUGAGGCGAAAGCUUUCUAGGAAUCAGUGGUUUCGCCCUGGCUGCACCUCGGAAUCAUCUAGGGAGCUUAAAAAUUACUGAUGUCUGUCCUCCCUCCCCACGGGGACUCUCACUUAAUUGAUCUGGGGCACAGCGUGGGUAUCUGAGUUUUCAGACGGUCCCCAGGUGAUGUGGGGGUGCAGCCAGGGCUGAGAACCACUAUACUGAAUGAAAUGACUAAUUGCCUAAAACUGCCUUAACCAGGGAGCAGAUUGGGAAGAAUGGAGGACAUUACAUAGCAUAUGACUGGGUGUUCUCCACGAACGGCUGCACAGCCUCCAGAACAUCGGAGAGUGUGUUCAUUACCUAUGUUAGACAAACGGCCACUCUCCUCAUUUAAUGUUUCCAAAGCUUUGGUUUUGCGUCUAGGAUCAAGUGAUUGAAUAAAAUAUAAACUUGCCUUUACAGUCUUCAUAUUUUAUUCUCUACCAAGGUGUGGUGUUUUGCUUGGUUACUCAUAUUUUUCAAAUGUAGUUUAGAUAAAUUUGCUUUUAAACCUCUGUCUGGAGGAUCACAUUCAUCUUGCUUUUCAUUAAGAUUUAGCAGUUUCCAAAAUGUCUGGAGGGACUUCAUGGGGAAGGAAGAUGGAUGGCCUGAAGGAGACAAGCCCCAUCUCUCGCCUGCUCCCCCCCACCCCGCCCCCAGAGUCUUCUCCACAUUUUCACCCUUGCCACUUCAUUAGGCCCCUCAUGAAGCCCCCACAGGUUACCACAGCCACUCUAUAGGCUGCCUGCAACCAUUUGCAGCUUGUGAAAAUGAUUUUCUCAGCCCUCGUCUGAGAUAACGGCCCUGGGAUAAUGACUUUUAGUAGAUGCGGAGAGAUUGCACUGCCACCCUCCAGGCCACAAGCAGCUUGGGAACUCUCCAGCGUGUUUACAUGUUGAUAUGCAGCCAGCAAGGCAGGCCACAGUGGAGUGUGAACCACUGGAAAAUAGUAAAAUGAGAGGCUUCAACUGGCUUUCCUCCCUAAUCUAAUCUACCUCAAUGACUUAGGACUAACUCUUCCUAGAAUGUUUAGUUACCAAGAUAAGGUUGCUCAUAUAAAGAAGUUAUCAUUCCAAACCCAGCCCCUCACAGAAUGUGGGAAUGUCAGCAUUCUGACCCCUUCUGCUUUGAAGGGCCCUGUCUUUCCUCCUCUGGUCUCUCUCCUUCCCUGAGACGGAGCCCCCUGACUUCUGACUCUCAUCUUCACUUAUAGGCCCUGACCUCUUUGAAGUCUGAUAUUGAUUACAGUGAAAUGUCAAUUGUCUCAUUGCAAUAGGGCACCUGGAACUUAUUCAGAUAAGCAGAGGCGUUUUGAAUGUUAACGAAGCACGUUGGGAGCCAUGACCUUCUUCUAAAUAAUGGUGUUUGGGGAAAAGGAGGAUCAGGCGAUUGAAGUGUCACUCUCUCUUUUUUAUUAGUUCAGUUGCUUUUUCUCACCACAAGACACUGAUUGAAUUAUGGUGCAUUUUGGACCGUGUAUCUCUGCCCUCUGGACAGAAGUUUUAGACAUUGAGAUAGAUGAGCUGUUCCAGGGUUGCCUGGUGUUGCUCAUUCAGACUUAACUUUUCAGGCAAUAAAUUUCCCAAGUCUAUGAGUGAAACUGCUGUUUCUCUGUAUGCAUUGGUUGAGUCUCUGGCCAGAGUAUUGACUGAUUUUCAAACGUGAAGAAAUGUAAAUCAGCAUCCCAAGCAAGGCAGGUUCCACCAAACUUUCUUUUUUUUAAUACCUCCUGAUGAAAGCCACUGACCUUUAUCGGGUUACUAAGUGAAAGGGUUUAGCAGCAUCAGAUGACUCGUCACAUUGUCUGCCUCUUCCCUGUGGCUGAGGGGUGGGGAGGGGGAUGUGGGAAGGGGUGCUAAGGAGGAAGGUAGCUUAGUAAUCAGGGAUGCACACCUCAACUGAGGUGAAAAGGUUCAAGGGAUUCUUUUCUCACUUCUCCCAAGGAUAACACAUUCUAGAUGUGAGGGAGAGCAGUAAAUCAUCACGUAUAUUGGAGGCAUUGGGACUUAACUCUCUUGUGGAACCUUGUUGAGAAGGGCAGGUAUAGUCGAGGAAGGCAGGGCCCACUGUAUCCUGCUGUGCAGUGUGGGAAGAGAGGCAAUUACAGGCAUCAAACAGGGUGAGGCUCACCUUGAUUUCCAGAAGCCUCACUUUUCCACUUUUUAUCAAAAUGAGGUCAGUGCCCAAAACAAAGCAAACAAACAAACAAACAGGUAUUUAUUUGAACCAACUUUGCAACAACAUCUCCAUUCAUUCUGCUGCCAAGCUGAGACUCCCUGAUAUCCCCUCGUUUUAGUGCAUGAAGUCGCCCAGAGUGCAGACUUUGAGUGAUGCCUUUCAUCUGACUGCACUGGUUCAUGCUAAUACUUCACUGGUUCCUUCCCGCAUGAGUCACAACUUUGGCAGUUCUAAAUCUGUUUUUGGUCAAGUCUUUUGGAUAUGAUAACUUCACCAACAAUAUCACCUUGUUCCUUGAGCCCCAUCUUCCAGCCCUUGUCAGAAUCUGGUUUAUCCAGACCACUUCAACACCUCGCUUCUCUUUAUGGAACUGAGUGUUAGAGGCAAAUGCUGUGUUUUAUGGAGCCUUGGUGGUCUCUGAUUACAUAUAAAUGAGUAAAAAGAUAUAUAUGUGUGUGUGUGUGUGUGUGUGUGUGUGUGUUAUAUAUAUUUUUAAUUUUAUAAUGUAUCAUGUUGGGUUAAUGCAAUCAGUAGAUUUGUUCCACAUUAUCUUCUCAUAACCAGGAUUUUACAAACUCUUUCAGAGGCAGUUUGGGAAGUACUUACUCAUUCCUGGGCCCAGUAUCUCCCAUGAUGCCUUCCAACUGCAUUCAACUCUAAACUGAAAAGGAUAGGCAGUCCGUUCUGUAGGUUCCUCAGCACUUUGUUUGCCCCCUUAAACUUUGUCAUGGAGAAAGUGGAAAGCAUCCUCCCGUCCAGUCUGUGGCACCAGCUGACGCGGAUCUAGGGACGCCCACCUGCCCUUCCCCUCACCUCACCCAGCGAGCUGCCACCAUCUCUUCGUGCCAACUCCUCAUGGACUGCAAGAAAGCAUGACUUUGAAAAAGGGAAGCCAUUCCGAGAUUUUAAAACAUUCAUGGACUGUCUGUUCCAUAUUAAAAGCUGUUUUUGUUGUACAAAAUUCAUUGAUGUUCAGUUCUAUUAUAUUUUGCCUUCAGAAAAGAAAAAAAAGUCAAAAAUAAACUUUUGUGUAUUGCAGCAA